UUGUGUAGGAUUCAUAAAGAAAAUAAUAUCUCAAGAACAUGGAGCUUAUAAUCUUGUUGAGCUUUUAUGUAAAGAUGGACAUGGGAGAUAUCCCUAAAAUUGAAGCUGCAGUGGUUCUUCCAAAUGAAGUCAAAUAAUUCUUUCGUUUUUCUUUUUUGUUUUCACUGAAUUGUAUUGUAGAUUGUAUAAUUAUGUUUUAGGUAUAAACUUAAUUGUAUUGCAGGCCUGUAAACUGAGUACAGAUCCAUGAUGAUGAACAUGCCUGUAAACUGGGAGCCCAGGUCCAUAAUAAUGACCUGGGCUACCCAUUUUUUUUUUAGUUGUAAUUUGAAGUAUUGUAACGGAUAUAACUGAAACAACAAAUGUAAGUAAAAGCAACACGUGUCGUCAUCUCAGAGUUGUUGCAAAUAAGAGUAACAAUUUAACUGUUACAGUAGUCGUGACUUAAG